rnacentral:tRNA from 1 species
GUGGAUGUAGCUCAGUUGGUAGAGUGCAGGAUUGUGGCUCCUGUUGUCGCGGGUUCAAGUCCCGUCAUCCACCCCA